AAACUUGAGAGUUUGAUCCUGGCUCAGAACGAACGCUGGCGGCAGGCUUAACACAUGCAAGUCGAACGCGUGUAGCAAUACACGAGUGGCGCACGGGUGAGUAACGCGUGGAUAUCUGCCUUUUGGUUCGGAAUAACCCCGGGAAACUGGGGCUAAUACCGGAUGGUUCCUACGGGAUAAAGAUUUAUCGCCAAAAGAUGAGUCCGCGUCCGAUUAGCUAGU
rnacentral:rRNA from 1 species